GUGGCAGUCACUUGUCGCGGUGCUCGG
rnacentral:sRNA from 1 species